rnacentral:lncRNA from 1 species
GUUCCUUCUUCCUCUGUCCUGAGCACAAGGUGCUUAUCACCUACAGUCUGCCCUGUACACAGGACUGACCGCAGUCAGUUCAGCUGAGAAUGCGUAAGGAGACCCCAAGGACAUCUGAUAGGGCAGAGACAAAGCAGUAAUGAAAGAGAGAGUAAUGCUUAUACAGUGCCUGGCCGGAGACCAGGAAGCUGCAGAGAGCUGGAAACCUCUGAGAGAGGAGGGCGGUACUCCUGGGCUCCUGGCGCCCUGCCACACCUUGUCGCAGUGGGACCUUUCUAUCUCUACGGCCUCGGUGGGUCUCACUGAAAUGCACUACAUUGAACACACAUCUGACUGCAAAAAGAAAGGGAGACGUAAGAAAUGCUGCAAGGAGGGACGGAGGGUCUAGCGCAGGGCUACAGCACUGCUGGCAUGCGUGAGGCCCUGGGUUCCAGCCCCAGCACUGCAGAAAGAGAAAAUAAAAACAGCAAUAGCAACAAACGCCACAUGGAAGCCACGCCGCAAGACGGGGACAUGGUGCCGUUCUCUCCAGGUUUAACUUUGCACAAAUGGAAAUGCUGCUCCUAGAAAAGCAACAGCUGCAUCAGGUCCGACUGAGAGCGAUUAGGGACAGAAGAGCGUCUGCCGGGGGUGGGGCUGACUGAGAGAGCUUGGUUUCCAAAUUUAGAAGUAAAUGAAAAACUUUCAGCCUUCAGUAUGUUAAAGUCUGAGGAAAUACACUCACUUCUUUUUAAAAACGGUGCUAAAUACUAAACGUAUUUUUUACUUUAAAGAGAAAAAACAUUUACAAAAUAGCAACAACAAAGAAAAACAAGACAACACAAAAAUAAUAAAAACGAUGCAGCAUUUCAAAACAAGAUGAUAGGAAUUAACAGUGGUUGUUAUAUUACAUAUAGUCAUCCUCAAAGAAGUUGCUCAGUUACCAGAUGUAAGAAUGUUUUGCAUUCUGUCAUAUUUAUUAGCACAUAUUAAUUGUACGUCUUAAGGGGGUUCUGUGUGGUACUUUAUACAUGGAUCUAGCCUGCACUGAUCACCAACCCCCUUAAUCUGCCCCCCUCACACCCUCCCAGCUUCUAGCAAUCAUUAUUUUACUUCCAGGUCAGUUUUGUAGAUUUCCAUGUGAGGAAAAAAUACGAUACCUGCUUUUCCGUGUCUCCUUUAUUUCACUUAAAAUGAUGUCUUCCAGUUCUACCCAUUUCACUGAAGAUUGCAGGAUUCCAUUCUUCUUCAUGGCUGAAUGCACUCCAUCUUGUAUAAGUACCACAGUUUCCUUAUCCACUCGUCUGUGCGUAGCCAUGGCAGAGGUUUUGUGUCUUAGCUGUGGUGAAUAGCGCCACAAUAGACAUGGCUGGGAGGUGGGCCUCUGGUGU